GUCAGACAUGGUGGCGAGCACCUGUGGUCCCAGCUACUUUGAAGCCUGAGGUGGGAGAAUCGCUUGAGUCCAGGAGUUCUGGACUGUAGUGCACUGUGUCAAUCGGGUGUCCACAAUAAGUUCGGCACCAACAUGUAACCUUCUAGGAGCAGGGGACCACCAGGCUGCCUAAAGAGGAGUGAACCAGCCCAGGUUGGAAACAGAGAGGUCAAAUCUCCCAUGCAAAUUGAUACUGGGAUGACACUGAUGAGUAGCCACGUUACUCCAGCCUGGGCAACAUAGUGAAACCCUGUCUCUA
ensembl:misc_RNA Metazoa_SRP Metazoan signal recognition particle RNA